rnacentral:antisense_RNA from 1 species
UGUGGGAGCGGGCUUGCUCGCGAUGGCGGAUGGUCAGUCAGCAUCAACGCUGCUGAUCCACCGCUAUCGCGAGCAAGCUCGCUCCCACA